rnacentral:rRNA from 1 species
AUGCUUUAUACAUGCAAGUCGAACGGAGGCCCUAGCUUGCUAGGUGUCCUUAGUGGCGCACGGGUGAGUAACACGUGGGAACAUACCUUAUAGUACGGAAUAACUGCGGGAAACUGUAGCUAAUACCGUAUAUUCCAGUAAUGGGAAAGAUUUAUCGCUAUAAGAUUGGCCCGCGCAAGAUUAGCUUGUUGGUGAGGUAAAAGCUCACCAAGGCUUCGAUCUUUAGCUGGUUUGAGAGGACGAUCAGCCACACUGGGACUGAGACACGGCCCAGACUCCUACGGGAGGCAGCAGUAGGGAAUAUUGGACAAUGGGGGCAACCCUGAUCCAGCAAUGCAGCGUGAGUGACGAAGGCCUUAGGGUUGUAAAACUCUUUCAUCGGUGAGGAUAAUGACAGUAGCCGAAGAAGAAGGACCGGCUAAUUCCGUGCCAGCAGCCGCGGUAAUACGGAAGGUCCUAGCGUUGUUCGGAAUUACUGGGCGUAAAGCGCAUGUAGGCGGAACAGAAAGUUAGAAGUGAAAUCCCUGGGCUCAACCUAGGAAUUGCUUUUAAAACUUCUGUUCUGGAAUUCAGGAGAGGAAAAUGGAAUUUCCAGUGUAGAGGUGAAAUUCGUAGAUAUUGGAAGGAACACCAGUGGCGAAGGCGAUUUUCUGGACUGAUAUUGACGCUGAGAUGCGAAGGCAUGGGUAGCAAACGGGAUUAGAUACCCCGGUAGUCCAUGCAGUAAACGAUGGGUGCUAGUCGUCGGACUUUUGUUCGGUGUCGUAGCUAACGCGUUAAGCACCCCGCC